rnacentral:rRNA from 1 species
GUGAGGAAUUUUCCGCAAUGGGCGAAAGCCUGACGGAGCAAUGCCGCGUGAAGGAUGAAGGCCUAUGGGUUGUAAACUUCUUUUCUCAGAAAAGAAUUAUGACGGUAUCUGAGGAAUAAGCACCGGCUAACUCCGUGCCAGCAGCCGCGGUAAUACGGAGGGUGCAAGCGUUAUCCGGAUUCACUGGGUUUAAAGGGUGCGUAGGCGGUUUUAUAAGUCAGUGGUGAAAUCAACGGGCUCAACCUGUUAACUGCCAUUGAUACUGUAGGACUUGAAUAUGAGAGAGGUAGGCGGAAUGUUGCAUGUAGCGGUGAAAUGCUUAGAUAUGCUACGGAAUACCGAUUGCGAAGGCAGCUUACUAUUUCAUGAUUGACGCUGAGGCACGAAAGCGUGGGUAGCGAACAGGAUUAGAAACCCGGGUAGUCC